GGUGAUCUAGCCAUGGGCAGGUUGAAGGUUGGGUAACACUAACUGGAGGACCGAACCGACUAAUGUUGAAAAAUUAGCGGAUGACUUGUGGCUGGGGGGGAAAGGCCAAUCAAACCGGGAGAUAGCUGGUUCUCCCCGAAAGCUAUUUAGGUAGCGCCUCGUGAAUUCAUCUCCGGGGGUAGAGCACUGUUUCGGCAAGGGGGUCAUCCCGACUUACCAACCCGAUGCAAACUGCGAAUACCGGAGAAUGUUAUCACGGGAGACACACGGCGGGUGCUAACGUCCGUCGUGAAGAGGGAAACAACCCAGACCGCCAGCUAAGGUCCCAAAGUCAUGGUUAAGUGGGAAACGAUGUGGGAAGGCCCAGACAGCCAGGAUGUUGGCUUAGAAGCAGCCAUCAUUUAAAGAAAGCGUAAUAGCUCACUGGUCGAGUCGGCCUGCGCGGAAGAUGUAACGGGGCUAAACCAUGCACCGAAGCUGCGGCAGCGACGCUUAUGCGUUGUUGGGUAGGGGAGCGUUCUGUAAGCCUGUGAAGGUGUACUGUGAGGUAUGCUGGAGGUAUCAGAAGUGCGAAUGCUGACAUAAGUAACGAUAAAGCGGGUGAAAAGCCCGCUCGCCGGAAGACCAAGGGUUCCUGUCCAACGUUAAUCGGGGCAGGGUGAGUCGACCCCUAAGGCGAGGCCGAAAGGCGUAGUCGAUGGGAAACAGGUUAAUAUUCCUGUACUUGGUGUUACUGCGAAGGGGGGACGGAGAAGGCUAUGUUGGCCGGGCGACGGUUGUCCCGGUUUAAGCGUGUAGGCUGGUUUUCCAGGCAAAUCCGGAAAAUCAAGGCUGAGGCGUGAUGACGAGGCACUACGGUGCUGAAGCAACAAAUGCCCUGCUUCCAGGAAAAGCCUCUAAGCAUCAGGUAACAUCAAAUCGUACCCCAAACCGACACAGGUGGUCAGGUAGAGAAUACCAAGGCGCUUGAGAGAACUCGGGUGAAGGAACUAGGCAAAAUGGUGCCGUAACUUCGGGAGAAGGCACGCUGAUAUGUAGGUGAAGUCCCUCGCGGAUGGAGCUGAAAUCAGUCGAAGAUACCAGCUGGCUGCAACUGUUUAUUAAAAACACAGCACUGUGCAAACACGAAAGUGGACGUAUACGGUGUGACGCCUGCCCGGUGCCGGAAGGUUAAUUGAUGGGGUUAGCGCAAGCGAAGCUCUUGAUCGAAGCCCCGGUAAACGGCGGCCGUAACUAUAACGGUCCUAAGGUAGCGAAAUUCCUUGUCGGGUAAGUUCCGACCUGCACGAAUGGCGUAAUGAUGGCCAGGCUGUCUCCACCCGAGACUCAGUGAAAUUGAACUCGCUGUGAAGAUGCAGUGUACCCGCGGCAAGACGGAAAGACCCCGUGAACCUUUACUAUAGCUUGACACUGAACAUUGAGCCUUGAUGUGUAGGAUAGGUGGGAGGCUUUGAAGUGUGGACGCCAGUCUGCAUGGAGCCGACCUUGAAAUACCACCCUUUAAUGUUUGAUGUUCUAACGUGGACCCGUAAUCCGGGUUGCGGACAGUGUCUGGUGGGUAGUUUGACUGGGGCGGUCUCCUCCUAAAGAGUAACGGAGGAGCACGAAGGUUGGCUAAUCCUGGUCGGACAUCAGGAGGUUAGUGCAAUGGCAUAAGCCAGCUUGACUGCGAGCGUGACGGCGCGAGCAGGUGCGAAAGCAGGUCAUAGUGAUCCGGUGGUUCUGAAUGGAAGGGCCAUCGCUCAACGGAUAAAAGGUACUCCGGGGAUAACAGGCUGAUACCGCCCAAGAGUUCAUAUCGACGGCGGUGUUUGGCACCUCGAUGUCGGCUCAUCACAUCCUGGGGCUGAAGUAGGUCCCAAGGGUAUGGCUGUUCGCCAUUUAAAGUGGUACGCGAGCUGGGUUUAGAACGUCGUGAGACAGUUCGGUCCCUAUCUGCCGUGGGCGCUGGAGAACUGAGGGGGGCUGCUCCUAGUACGAGAGGACCGGAGUGGACGCAUCACUGGUGUUCGGGUUGUCAUGCCAAUGGCACUGCCCGGUAGCUAAAUGCGGAAGAGAUAAGUGCUGAAAGCAUCUAAGCACGAAACUUGCCCCGAGAUGAGUUCUCCCUGACUCCUUGAGAGUCCUGAAGGAACGUUGAAGACGACGACGUUGAUAGGCCGGGUGUGUAAGCGCAGCGAUGCGUUGAGCUAACCGGUACUAAUGAACCGUGAGGCUUAACCUU
rnacentral:rRNA from 1 species